GGCUGAAAUUCGCCUUCAUGAAGCCGGAAUUGCUAGUAAUGGCAGGUCAGCAUACUGCCGUGAAUACGUUCCCGGGCCUUGUACACACCGCCCGUCACACCAUGAGAGUUGGGAAUACCCGAAGCCUGUGAGCUAACUUUACGAGGCAGCAGUCGAAGGUAGAAUCAAUGAUUGGGGUGAAGUCGUAACAAGGUAGC
rnacentral:rRNA from 1 species